rnacentral:lncRNA from 1 species
AUCGGGGUGGGAUCGCUAGGCCUUGGGAGCCCCCAUUGUACCAAUUUUUCUCCAUUUUUGCUUUGCCCUAGUGAAACAUAUCGGCUGUAACCUGUUACCUGUAGAUUACAUGACGUGAAUGAUGUAUGUUUCUGGCGAUCGUUUUUUCAAGCUUGUUGUAUACUUAUAUUGCCCAUUGCUCGCUGUGGAGUGCCCUCCCACCAACUGUUCACGGACCGUUUGCACAGGGGGCGCGGGGGCGAUUGAUCGGUCUUUUUAUGAAAAAAUAAAAAACCAAAUGAUAUAUUUAUAAUCGAAAAAUAAUUUGUUAAUAAAAAUAUAUAUAUAUUCUUAAUGAUCUAAAAAUCCAAGUUGAAAAAUAAACUUUAGUAAAAAAUGCCUAAAAUCAAUUUUAAAAUUAAGGUUAAAAAUUUAAAUUUUGAUUUAUAAGUUUAGCAGAAAUGAAAAUACACUGGUGAUAGCGUAUGCUGGUGCAUUUGUAACAGGUUUCCUUCGGAUUAGGUCUGGCCGUGUUACUUCCUUCGUCUUUUCUUAUAUUCUUAUUUGUUUUUUAUGCACAUAUUUUCUUUACGGUUAAACUAUGUGUAUUUUGUGAAAUGAUUUGUUUAAUUUUUAAUUUGUAGUAGUUAUUUGUAUUGCUUAUGCAAUUAAAUGGUUAUUAUAAAAAAAUUCAAAAAACCAUUUAUUUUUUAUCAUCCUUCAGGGAUAAAGAACACAGCGAAGGAUGCAUCGGCAGCAUCGCUUUGGUCGUCCGCGCAAAGGGGUUGUACCGGCCGCCCGUUUCGGGGAUAUCCAAGGAGCCACUGACAUGCGGGGGUCAUCAGUCCCAGCUGGCCGGCGGUGGGGCGGGAUUGCGGGAAGGAGGUGCGAAAAGUUUUCGUGUCCGCUCUCCCCGGCUUGGUUUCCCGAGCUCGCAGAGUUGCCACGGCCAGCUAUAAACGAUCCCCUGCGGUGUGUUCCGUGUACCCACCUCCACUCACGGAGUCGCGGGGAUAGCCGAUAGCAGGCGGGAGGAAGGAAGGGGGAGAUCACCGGAAGGAAAGGAAGGCGUCGUCCGAUGCGAACCCAACCCCCGAGAGGUGCGUUCUCUUUCAUAGCCCAGCUGAUAAUUUUGUUAUUAGCGGUGACACGCCUGUUCAAUGUUUGUGUAUGCUAACCAUCGGUCAAAAUUCUUACGUAUUGGAUUGCAGCUCGAGAGAUCGUCCGAGGGAGAGAAAGCGACCAUCGGGGUGGGAUCGCUAGGCCUUGGGAGCCCCCAUUGUACCAAUUUUUCUCCAUUUUUGCUUUGCCCUAGUGAAACAUAUCGGCUGUAACCUGUUACCUGUAGAUUACAUGACGUGAAUGAUGUAUGUUUCUGGCGAUCGUUUUUUCAAGCUUGUUGUAUACUUAUAUUGCCCAUUGCUCGCUGUGGAGUGCCCUCCCACCAACUGUUCACGGACCGUUUGCACAGGGGGCGCGGGGGCGAUUGAUCGGUCUUUUUAUGAAAAAAUAAAAAACCAAAUGAUAUAUUUAUAAUCG